rnacentral:lncRNA from 1 species
GCAAGAUUCCCUUGACAUAGCUUACAAUUUUGAGUGCACAGCACUGCUAAAACAAGAGUAAGCCAAGACCACUUCAAGAGAGAUUCCUUUCAGUUGAUGUCAGGAAAUAUGCUCAACGGGGAGACAGAAAGAAGAAAUAUGAGCUCCACCUAGUCCUGUUCUUCCAAUCUCUUGAUAUUUGUUGUAUUCUGGAUCUGCAUUUGAAUGAUUGAAGAGGUGAAGCAAUUUCUACCAACAAUGGGCUCCAAUCUUAUCUUAGAGAUCAGUAAGCUCAGGAGAAAUAAAGACCAAAAGGCCUCCAGUAUCUCUUCUGCCAUCACCCUACGCUCCAAGUUAGGCUUGGAGAGUGACAC